UACGUAGGGUGCAAGCGUUGUCCGGAAUUAUUGGGCGUAAAGAGCUCGUAGGCGGUCUGUCGCGUCGGAUGUGAAAAUCCAGGGCUCAACCCUGGACCUGCAUUCGAUACGGGUGGACUAGAGGUAGGCAGGGGAGAACGGAAUUCCUGGUGUAGCGGUGAAAUGCGCAGAUAUCAGGAGGAACACCGGUGGCGAAGGCGGUUCUCUGGGCCUUACCUGACGCUGAGGAGCGAAAGCGUGGGGAGCAAACAGG
rnacentral:rRNA from 1 species